rnacentral:lncRNA from 1 species
CAGAUUGUUAACAUAAGUUAGAAAGUAAUGAUUUUCACACAGCUUUAUCAUAGAAAGGGAAAAUGUGCCAGCACCUAGUACUCCAGAAAUACUAAUAACUUAACUACCAUGAUAUUAAACAAAUAAGAUGGUAGGUGUGAACAAACACUAGAUAUAUUUGAUCAUUCACAUUUUUUUAGAACCAGUGAUGAAGGGCUUGUUGUAAGAAUCUUAGGAACAUAGCCACAAGGGAAAGUUGCUGGAAAGGGGACAAAUCACAUUACAGAAUACACAACCCCGCUGUAAAUUAUCUUCAUUUCGCUGACAAAGAAGCGUCCUGUCACACUUGAACAUUGGAGGCCUCUGAUCUUGGUAAAGGAGUAAAAGGAGUCUCUAAUUCAAGAUGGGUAUAUAUACAUUAUAUAUACAAUGCUCUUAUAAUCUUGAAACUGGAUCACACCAACCAGUCAUGUCUCAAAAAAAAAAAAAAGAAAAAAGAAAAAAAGAAGGCUGUUGCCUACAACUUUUAUGUAAAAAUCAUACUGCUACAACUUCGCAGUCUUAAGGAAGUGAUGCAACAUCCUGUCACAGCUCAAAGUUCCAAGGACAUCAGGAUCCUCUGAUCUUUUAAGAGAGGAGAUGAAGCAGCCUUAACAACUUGCAGAGUUUCUGGACUAAUUAGAAUAUUAUCUGUUUCAAAUCUCAAGAGUUUUUUACGCACUAUAAAAGGAUGAACUUCAAAGAUCACUGGAAUUAAAUAUUGCCACUUGGCUUAAUCUUACUAUCUAUGUAAGAUCUAUGAAAUCCAUAAGGCAAUUGGAUAGAAUCAGUGCAAUAAAAAACAUCAUUACCACAUUAGUCAGCUCUAGCACAAAAAAUUCACUCUUCACUAAUUUACUACUAACCAGUCCAUCCAGAUAGAUUAACUGUCUAAUAAGUACUAUUCCUAUUGGUAAAGUAAUUUUUGGCCAGCAACGACUUAUUUUUCUUCUUGUGAGAUCCGAAUGGCUCGUUUACUGGCUUUCAUCUUCAUUGAUCUGCUUGCCAAGUUCCAAGAUUCUGUUUAACAGUCUGUGCCCACCAAGGGGACAACAAAGAGCAACAUUUGAUAAGUACCUCAUAGCAAAAAUAAAAACGUCAUAGUUUAAUGGCCAAAAUAUAUGGAAACCUAGGAGUACAGAUUGGUAAAUACCUCUUCAUAAAUAUUAAAUACCAUGAAUAGUGCGUGAAACAUGUGGAAACUUAGGAGUGCUAUUAAGCUAAGCUGUAGGGAGGAAAAGAUUGUCUUUACUCUCUAUCCAGUUUCCUCCUCUGGGCAAAAACGUAGUGCUUGCUCACAUAUAAACUAACAAAUGUAACCCCGAAAAGCUGCCUUAGAUCCUGCAAAUCUACCACUAAAAACAACCAAACAACGAAACAAUCCAAUUUCUAGAACUUUGAUGAAUAGAAGAUCUAGCAACUAGCAUGCCAACCCCUUUAAAAAAAUAAAAAAAUAAAAGCUUCUCUUUUUGUAGAAAGACUAAUUUUUAGAACUUUUGAAUCUACCAGGGAAUUUUGUCAGCUCACAAGAGAUAACAGGAGGACAACAUCAAUUUUUAGAAGAAGAGAUAAAUGAUAAACAACGAAAAAAAUUCUUUCCAGUAAGAACUGAAUUUUAGAACCUUUGAAAAAAAAUUAGAAGUUUUCAAUCCUAUUACAACCUAUUGUGUAUCUAAGAACCGGAAGGGUCACUUGCAAUCUUACUCAGUACCAAUACUACACUUUAAUAAACAUGAACGAUGCAGCAAAAGAUUCCAAAAAUUUGCAAGCACGUAAAACAGAACAAACUGUGGCAAUAUAUCCAAUGAAACCAAUCGGUGUAAUAAAGCCCAUAACUAGUGAUUAAUUGGAAAAGUUUCAAACUUUCACAAGUCCUAAAUAUGUCUGAAAGUCGGGGAUAAGGGGAAGAUAAGAAGAAGGAGAGAGCCUAGAAAGUGAGGGUGAGAGGAAGUGAAGGUGACAACAAUAGCAAUAGAAGGAGCGGCAGAGGCACAUGUGGAGGCGGAGUAUAAAAAGUUGUUUGGGUAGGUCUCGUGAUAGGUGAGGUGAUGGGUGGAAGGGUAGCGGGAGAGACGAAGAGUGGAGGAAGUGGCCGGAGGGGCGGAGGGUGAAGGUGGAGGCGGUGGUAGCAGAGGCAAAAUGUUGGGGAGGAGGUGGAAGCGACGACGGAGGAGGAUGACCUGCGCGGCUCUGAGGAAAAGCUGUAAGUUAGCGAUCAGGAUAGGGAGAGAGGAGGGACGCCUGUGUUUUUCAUUUUGUUGUAACUUUAUACUUACC